CUCAUUUUAUCUUGAUGCCCAAAGCUCAGUUUGUAUUUACAGUUCACAAGUAUAUUUCUUUAUAUAGAUGCAAGUGAUGACGCUCAAUUGGAGAAACGGUCCUCAACUGGUAUAUAAAUUAUCAUUCAUUUUUAUAGCUAAUCAAUCUUCAUCUAUAUUGUUUAUACGUACCUACAGUAGUAUACAUUAUACUGUAAAAUCAGGCUUGAUGAUAAAUAUAUAUAUAUAUAUAUAUAUAUAUAUAUAUAUAUAUAUAUAUAUAUAUAUAUAUAUAUAUAUAUAUAUAUAUAUAUAUAUAUAUAUAUAUGUAUAUAUAGAGCUAUAGUUUUUUGUUCACUUCGUUCAAUAAGGUUCCUUUCCUUGCGAAGCAAUCUAUAGCGUUUGAUGCUUCCCCUCUCUCCCUAAUUGUUUUAGCCUUGCUUAAAACGUUUGUCAAAUGAGCUCUAUGUUCUUUUCGUAAUUAAGCGCUGAAUUUUUGAGUUUCUUCCAUCCUGGUCACGCCAUGCCAUCAACAAUGUCAUAAAAGACGAGAACCAGUUUCGUUUUGGUUAAAUAUAUUUUGAUGGAUCGGAAAUAUUACAGAACUUUAUGCUUAGUUAAAAUAUAAACUACUAAUAUAAGCUUCUAAAAGUGCGCGAAAAGACUGUCAUGUGACUGAAGCACAGCUAAUCCAAACUAAAUGUCUAGUAAAUAUCAAUGUUCUAAUCUAUGGUUUAAUCUAAUAUUAUUCAACAGUAUUCAAUAUCUAUAUACAAUUUGAAAUAUUUCCUUUCACAGUGUGCAUUAAUAAUUGCCGUUCUGCCUGCCGAACAAUUGGCACAUUUGAAGGAUUCUGUAAUCAAAUUUGCCCGAAUGUUGUAAGUCUUAAAAUUUAUAUACGUCAUGUUUUAAAAUUAUGCUCGAAUAAUUCGACUGGUUUAAUUACGAAAAUUAUGCCGGUUUUUGUUAAAUUAUACCGAUUUACGCCAGAAAAGUCAAAUGAGCAAUUACGCAAGCAGUGCCUUUCCAUAUAAAGUACCAAAGAUAUGGCUCGUGUACCCAAAUCAUGCCAAACCAUGUGCUAGCAGAAUCGAGAAAAGCCUAUUUGUGACCAUAAAAAUGCUUAAAAAUAAUGCAUUGUUGACAACGUGUUUCUACAGCAGGUCAUGUGAUUGUCGGACAUUUUACGAUGUUGAACAGGAAGCAUAUGCAACUUGUAUCAGAAAUCUUACUAGAUAAGUUCGGUCAGUAAAACCUCGCGCGAUUGCUUGCUCCUGCAUAACUUUGGCAUAUUAAAUGUUUUCCUCCCAGUAAUUCUGUUGGUUAUAGUUCCACAUAGGCUUUUGCUAUGGCUGUAUGGCAACACACGUACGCAACUCACUCUAAAUUGUAGUCCAUUCAUUCACGUUGUUGGGGAAAAGCUCAGUGACCACAUUCUUUCCGCGCAUGAUUUUAUUUUGAACAUUAAUAACACUAAAAAAAGUGGUAAUCUCGUUUCUUCAAUUUGAUACAGAAUAUUUUUCCUCAGCGUAAAACGUUCAUAUCUCAAAAGUUCAAGGUACCUUGGUGAACUCGUUUUCGAGUUAUAUUCAUUGUAUUAUUUCCGGUCCUCUGCGACAUAAAUGAUUUGUCAAACACGUACACAAUUUUAGGCGCAGGUUGAGAAAAACCCGCACAUUCAAGGGAAUCAAAGUUUGAAAUUGAAGCUAUAGCCUAUAGAAAUGCAAAUAUCUUUGUGCUUUUUAUACUAACUAAAGUGGUAACUAACUAAUUACGAACAAGAAAAAAGAAAGAAUUGUGACGGAUUAUAAUUUUCCCGUCAUUUGGCCAAAGAUAUGUUGGGCAUAUAAAACCUGCUUGCAGUCUUCUAUUUCGACUUCUGUGUUUUCAUGUUGGUGUUCAACUCAAGAAAGUGAGAAAUAGAUUCUCUAUUUAAAACUGCCUAACUGGUCAAUGUGCAAAGGCAAAUCUCAAGUCAAUAUUUGAAUUCCGAUAAUUCUGAGUUUGAACUUGUUUCCUGAACAUAAAUGUGAUACAGACAUACGACUAACAAUUCAUACAUUUAUAUGGUAUUAUAAGAAGGUAUUUUUUUAUGAAAAUAGAACAGAGAAAGAUUAAAAAUUCGCUUGAUUUGUUGUCGAUGUUUUUACUUUGGCCUUGAGAACUAUAUUUAUAUAUAUUGUCGACUGUUAUUAUACACGAAAUUUUCACACGAAAGCGAACAACGCAAACUGCGAAAUUAGACACCAGGGGCCGGUUGUAUAAAAACGUAGUUAGCGCUAACUGCAGUUAAAAAGUAGUUAAAAAGCCUUAAAAAAUAGUUAACUUUAAUCACGUAGUUAAGCCUGUUGUAUAAAAGUGUAGUUAGCCUUAACUGCAGUUAAAAAGUAGUUAAAGUUAACUAUGCUUUAGGGUAUAGUUAACUGUCCAAAACGUAGUUAAAAAUGGUGUUUGUAUAGGAGUGCACAACAUUUUUCAGUAAAACAACAAUGAAAAGCAACGCUUACCUGAGAUUUUCAACCGCUAUCUUCCCUGUGAAUGUUUCCUGACAAUAUAAACUCUUCAAACGCUAUCGCUUUGGUGUUUUUGCGAAAACAGAACAUAUUUUUGCCCAGGACGACUUCUCGAAGACGAAGUUUGGUCCAUUACACCAAGAAACACUGAUAUAUGAUUGCCAAACAGCUAUACCUUGGUUUAACGUAGGCAUCUCAAGGAAAAACUGCAUUCUUUUAUGAUUUUUGUGGCGGUUUUUCCUUGUUUUCUUGUAUAUUUUUCACUGUUUUCUAGUGUUUUGAAUAAAAUUCCCGCCUAUUUGCAAAAUACGAGUCCACAAUCAUGUUGAAAAUGUGUGUCAGCGGUCGUUAUUCGCUGCUUACUUUAUGUCAUUUUGUGUUUAAACGCCCCACGCAAGCCCCACGCACAGUUAACUACGUGAUUAGUUAACUAUCCGACUAACUACGUUUUGUGCAACGCAGUUAAGUCAUGUAGUUAACUAAUUACAGUUAAGGAUUUAACUGCAGUGAUUAACGCUAACUACAGUUAGCGCUAACUACGUUUUUAUACAACCGGCCCCAGGGGGCGGAAUAGGAUUGGUUGAAAUUUUCCUUUGCGGUCACGCCGAAAAUUGCGUAAAUUGCAUAGCUAUGUAUGAUAAUUCAUAGUUGCUCAGCGUCCGCCAUCAUGGACAUGACAUUUUUUGAAUAAUGUUAAAUUAGUUAUGCAAAAUACUGCUUACGCAAGUGUACGGCAUUAGUGUUGAUUGAUCGCAGACUGUUUCUCCGCCGCUCCAGGAGGGGUGGGCUGAGAUAAGUCUGCUAUCGCAGACUAAAGGCCCUUUUACGCGGUGCAAUUUUUCAUGCAACUUGUCUCGCAAUGUUUAAAAAAAGACUUUGAUAAUGCAUUGCAAGAGGUGUUACACGCUGCAAUGAUAUUCAUGCAACUCGCAACGAUACGGCACAGAGGCAUGCGAAGAGAAUAGGGAGAGGCGCAAUUUGGCGCCAAAUUUUAAUUAAAGUAAAGCGUGUACUGGGGAGAGCCAAUAGGAACUCUCCAAGCAUUAAACAUUGCGAGACAAGUUGCACGAAGCCAUGUUACACGCUGCAAUGCUAAAAAUAAUUAGUGCAAUCGUUGCCAAAAGUAGAACCGACUUCUACUUUCUGCAAUGCUUCAUGCAACUUGUCUCGCAACGAUUUUGACCAUUGCAAGGCAUGUUAAAUGGUGCAAUGACUCGUGCAACUUGUCUCGCAACGCCAUUGCGAGACAAGUUGCAUGAGAAAUUGCACCGUGUAACAGGGCCUUAACUAACAAUGAUCGCAUGAGCGGCUUUUAGUUCGAACUGCAUGAGCAUUGAAGUUGAAAAACUAUGUAACGUGAUAUUUAACAUAAACGUUGCUGGGUUGAAUCCGAGAAGGAAACUUUUCUUUGUUAAAGUUUGCCUGUCCAAAACAAACAACUAACAAGGCGACAAAACGUCUAAAACACAAAAAUCGCAAAAAAAUAAGAAACACGUGUUAGGGAAAUAAGAUUACAACCCACUGAUCAGGUCAUGUAAAUUUCAUUUUUUCAAUUGAAUUAAACUCCUAAGCUGCUGGCAGAAUGUCUUCGAGCCACAUGCGCAGUUCAUAUGUCUCCAUCAACAAGAAGGAAAAAGCUGUCAAAGUCGACACAAUGCCGUCCUCAAUUUGGCUUUUCCAAAAAGUAUAAUCAGUAAAUACCCAGCGUUCGCUUGCUUUCCUGCGUUUAGCCCCGUUUCUCAGGAUACGAGGUUCCGAUUGGGAAUUAUGAAUAAGGUCUAGGAAACUCAGCCAAACAUAUUUAAUCGUUAUGCUCCAGCAAUUUCAAAUAUGUAUAAAUUGUCUGCAUUAUGGAUAAAUUUAACAUAUUUUUGUGCCCAAAUUUGUUGUGAGAUAUAAUUUCUGACAAGGUUUCGCUGCCCAUUCUACUGACUUACAUUAUAUUAAUUAAUUUAAUAUUUUACCCAUGGAGGCAGUAACAUACCAAAAGAUGUUCAAAAUUUUCUCAAAUUUCCGUAAUGCGAACGAAUUUGUUAUGCCAAAUUUGAAUACAUUAAUAUCCCCCAAAGUUUUAUGUCGUAACAAACUCAUAAACCUUACUACACUACAGGCUAGAACAUAUCGGACAGGACAUACUUUAGUCCUUACCGUGCUUUCUUCCUUGUUUUCAAGUCUUUUCAAAUGUUUUGUUAAUUUCAAAAACACAACAUAAGGCAAAAUAAUGAAAGAGAUUUGGAACAUCGAGACAUGCAGUUUUUUAUCCGAGUUUUGUUUAAAAUUAUAAAAUGGCAGGAAAUUUGUCUAGCUUUGAGAAAUGCACUUGUAAUGUUUCCAAUACUAGUUGUGAGGUUAGUAAUAAAAAGAGUCCAAUCAACUUAUUUAAAACAUAGUUACAGCAGCUACUUAAUUAAUGCACGGAAAUUAGUUUUUUUACACAUACGUCUUUCUCAUUAAUAAGUGGUGUAGGUUACAAAAUUUUUUGGUUAGUUAUUCGGAGUGGAUGUGUGUUAUAUGUACAUGUUGUCGCUGUAUUAUACUCGCUGUAUUAUUAUCACUUACAAAGACAUUUUUGUUAUAGCAUUACUUUUAAUUGUCCAACAUAAUAAAAUAUCUAUUGGAUUCGUCUUCCACCAAUUUGGCAAAAUAUUAAGUUUCAACUUCAAUAUUUGGCACAUUGGGCUUAGAAGAAUCCAAUUUUCAGUUGAGAUGAUGAUUAAUUUUAACAUAGUUGUUGUUUUCCUAAUGCCAGUAGGGCUAGGUUUUGCCGUGUAUAGACCGCGUUUCCAUGUAAAAGGAAACAGGACGUCUUCAUGACGCUAUUAAUAUACAAGAAUAUAUUUUCUAAUUUAUUUUAUUGUUUCCCAUCCAAGCAUAUUGUUCUUUCUUUAGGUUUUGAAAUCUUCCAAUAGACCUGCCUGUCUCGCUGCCUGCAAAUGGAUCCCCGUUCGCGAUGGAAAAGCCAUAUAUACCUGCCAUCGACUGUGCAUGCUUGUAAGAACAUAAUUAUAGUCGUUUUACCUCAAAAGGUGGCCACAAAAGCCUGUUUCAUCCAAACGACAUAUCAUCAGGUGGCUGACAAAUUUCGAAAAGUGGGCUGCUUAAAUGUUUAGGGUCGGAAACGUGGGCGUCAAACAAUACAUGCAUUCCUUCCAUUGUUAUCAUUGUUGACUAGAAAUUUCUCUUUAUGAUUACAUGUUGAAACUACAGGGUGUAUAAAAAAAAAGCGCAAUCCUCGACAGAAAUGUAAAUUGCUAAACAAAUAAUAAACGAAAACGUUAAAGUUUACAUUCAUUUUAAAGCGUAGCCAUUCAGCUUUCUAACAGUGGGUUGUUUCUUAAAUUUGACUCAUUGGUUCGCGGGUAAUAAUACUUCACGUUAUUGCGAUUGGAGAUUAAAAAAAUUGAGAUGGAAUAACAAAUCGUUCUCAUGAAAAUAACUGAUUUUUUCAUUAAAACAAAAAAAUGUUGCAUUUUAUUAAAUGGAUUGUAACAAUAAGUAUAAUUACGGCUUUUCUUCCACUAUUUUUAACUCAGUUUGAAACUUCAAAUGCGAUAUAAUUUUGGCUUGGACCAUCUAAGCUGACUGACAUCAACUUGCUAUAAUUUCUGUUUACAUUACAUCGCAAUUCGAUGACACUCUGGCUCAGACACCAGAAUGUUUUGACGAUUUUUAGCAUUCGUUUAGGAUUUUCAAACAACCUGGUCUCUUUUAAAAUACUUUUAAUUUGUUCUUACGUGGUUUUCCAGAUGUAAUGACGAGAACAUUAAAGUUUAAAGAAGAAAAUUCUAACAUUUAAACCGACUAAACAAUAACAUAGUAAACUUGCAUAAUUAAACAGCAACUAAAAAUGAUAGGUUUUACUAAAUCUUUUCCUGUGCAAUUAUUACUAGCAUUGGAGACAAGGAUAAUAGUGUGUUUGAAAGAGAAAAGAACAGGCUUUGAAGUAAGCCUAAAAGCGUUUAACUAGAAAUAGUAUUUCGAAAGUUAUUAAGCACCAAAGAUGAAUUGCGUUUAUUUUGAUACACCCUGUUUUCUCUCGAAACACAAAUUUCAGUUUUUUAUUCCUCCGUAUAAGAAACAGUGCGUUUUUGUGUUGGCAAGGUUAUGUCAAAAUCUUGUUUGUUGACACCGGAAAAGAAAGACUAAUACCUACUCUCUCUUUUUUUCUCUAGUGUUUCCCUUGAUCGACUUCCAUGCAGACUUAUAUUUUUAUUACAUUUUUGUCCGGAUUAUACUGUAUAAUACAUAUGCAUGUAAUUCGUUUGUGGCUCUUUUCAUGGUAAAACUUAUAAUUUUGAAACAGCUAGCAUUAGGCUUACUGUAAAGCAUGCACUUCAAAAAUAAUUCCUGUAUGUAUUCUGUUUUAUUUAGUGAUAAAAAUUUGUGUGUGCAUUUACGACGACAUUUGUCGAGAUUUGUGGUCCGUCAUUAUAUCGCAAUAAAUAUUCAAC
rnacentral:lncRNA from 1 species